UACGUAGGGUGCGAGCGUUGUCCGGAAUUAUUGGGCGUAAAGAGCUCGUAGGCGGUUUGUCGCGUCGGCCGUGAAAACCUGUAGCUUAACUGUGGGCUUGCGGUCGAUACGGGCAUCACUGGAGUUCGGCAGGGGAGACUGGAAUUCCUGGUGUAGCGGUGAAAUGCGCAGAUAUCAGGAGGAACACCGGUGGCGAAGGCGGGUCUCUGGGCCGAUACUGACGCUGAGGAGCGAAAGCGUGGGUAGCAAACAGG
rnacentral:rRNA from 1 species